rnacentral:pre_miRNA from 1 species
UUCAUACUCCCUCCGUCCGGAAAUACUUGUCGCACAAAUAGAUAAAAUUGGAUGUAUCUAGAACUAGAAUACGUCUAGAUACAUCCAUUUCCACGACAAGUAUUUCCGGACGGAGGAAGUAGUUU